UACGUAGGGUGCGAGCGUUGUCCGGAAUUAUUGGGCGUAAAGAGCUCGUAGGCGGUCUGUCACGUCUGCCGUGAAAACCCGAGGCUUAACCUCGUGGCUUGCGGUGGAUACGGGCAGACUAGAGGUAGGUAGGGGAGAACGGAAUUCCCGGUGUAGCGGUGAAAUGCGCAGAUAUCGGGAGGAACACCGGUGGCGAAGGCGGUUCUCUGGGCCUUACCUGACGCUGAGGAGCGAAAGCAUGGGGAGCGAACAGG
rnacentral:rRNA from 1 species